rnacentral:lncRNA from 1 species
CUGGUCUAACUUUUAGAUUAUAUCGGUAGAGUUCAGAACUCAUCAUCUUUUUAUGGAUUGAUGAUCUCCACUACUGGUAAGCAUGGUACAAAGCUGUCGCUGAUGUCGAGUAGCUGCACAGAUCAUCCGACCUCUACAGAUCGUCCACUUGAAGCUCUGAUCAGAUCUUCCUUCAUGAGAGUGCUAGCUCAUGUCGAAGGCUUUGGAUGGCUGAUCCAAGCUCCUUU